UACGUAGGGGGCGAGCGUUGUCCGGAUUUAUUGGGCGUAAAGAGCGUGUAGGCGGUUCGGUAAGUCUGUCGUGAAAUCCUGAGGCUCAACCUUGGACGUGCGGUGGAUACUGUCGGGCUAGAGUCCGGAAGAGGCGAGUGGAAUUCCUGGUGUAGCGGUGGAAUGCGCAGAUAUCAGGAGGAACACCGGUGGCGAAGGCGGGUCUCUGGGCCGAUACUACGUGAGGAGCGAAAAGCGUGGGGGGAGCGAAACAGGG
rnacentral:rRNA from 1 species